UACGGAGGGAGCUAGCGUUGUUCGGAAUUACUGGGCGUAAAGCGCACGUAGGCGGAUUGUUAAGUCAGGGGUGAAAUCCUGGAGCUCAACUCCAGAACUGCCUUUGAUACUGGCGAUCUCGAGUCCGGGAGAGGUGAGUGGAACUGCGAGUGUAGAGGUGAAAUUCGUAGAUAUUCGCAAGAACACCAGUGGCGAAGGCGGCUCACUGGCCCGGUACUGACGCUGAGGUGCGAAAGCGUGGGGAGCAAACAGG
rnacentral:rRNA from 1 species